CUGUAUUUCUGUGGUUUCAUGGGAAAAGAAAUGUAAAAACAUUAUUUCAAGGAUUUUACAGAUGAACCAACACAUCAUAGAGUAAGGAGUAAAGUGGUAUUAGACAUUAUUGUAGACAACUUGACAUAGAGUAAAGAAUAAAUAUAAACAAUCCUAGGUAUAUAAUUAGGUACCUACAGAACUACAGGAAAAGGUUAUUUCGUAUAAAAAAAGUAAUAGACGAGUUUUCUUAUUCAAAAUGUUCCGCUUACCACUUGGCGAAAGGGUUGAUCCCUUAGAAGAAAAACGUCAAGCAAGGGAAAAUACAAUCAACAGCGUUCUGACAUUUUGUGUGCUUUGUGCUGCUAUAAGACUCGCGCCAGUUAUCAUCGAAUAUAGUGGAUUUUAGUUUAAGAAGAACUGCCGUGUAGUGUAAUACUAAUUUAUUGUUUUUAAUUAUAAAAUGUCAUCUGCUGGUUGUUUAGUUGCAAACUUCAGAAUGUGAAAGUGCUUAUGAGAACUUCAAGAAUAAAAUGAAUGCUAACUGAAAAUGUAAAUAAAUAAUUUCUAUUGUAAA